AAAGUCGUAACAAGGUUUCCGUAGGUGAACCUGCGGAAGGAUCAUUACAAAUCCAUCCACGUCUCCCUCAAAAAGAGACCACGUUGAAAUGUUCCUCCUCCUGCCUGGCGCCAGUCGCCAGCGCACGGUCGAGCUCUCUCGGCCUCCCCGUGGGGUCGCGAGAUAUAAACUGCAUCUUGUUGCCCAAAUGUACAUCUUCACUAGUUGAUCACAACUGUAAGUACAACUUAUAACAAUGGAUCUCUAGGCUCUU
rnacentral:misc_RNA from 1 species